ensembl:lncRNA
AUGCUACAUUUCUCCAAAUCUGAUGAAGAAACAAACUCAUCUACAUCUUGGAUGACCAAGUCUGUGUUUGUUUUCUUGUCGGCAGGGGCCGAUCUCAUCAUCAGUGUCAGGGGUCAGAAGGACAAGGAGGAAGGAGGCGGCGAUCACGCUGAGAGGAAAGAGAGAGAACAAACGAGAAAACAUGAUAGGAAUCUGACUGGAAGAGGGCCAGUGCCUCUAUUUUUGGCAUCUUAGAAAAUGAAGAAUGUACUUCUGACAGCAGGAUUAUUUUAGCUCUAAUAUGUAUUGUAUAUUGCAGUAAACAGAAGCUCACUGUGUCACUCACAGCAUACAGUCUUACAGUGAAUCAAGACACUUCAGCAUUUUGCUCUUAAUAUAUAAUAGUUUUUUGUGGCUUGCGAGAAAUAUUCCAUGAACGCAAUCUAGAUUUUUUCAUGGUAAAUUCAUGACUCAUUUUUAAUUUUAACACAUUCAUUACUUUUUAUUUCACAUUUUAUAUAUAUAUAUAUUUAUAUAUAGAUAUGCACUACUAUUUAGGGUCGGUAAGAUUUUAAAGUGUUUUUGAAAAGUCUCUUCUGCUCACCAAGGCUGCAUCAAUUUGGUUAAAAUACAAUAAGAAUUCUUGAAAUAUUAUUGUAAUUUAAAACAACUGUUUUCUGUGUGAAUCUCUGUUAAACUGUAAUUUAUUUCUGUGAUGUGCAGCUGUAUUUUCAGCAUCAUUACUCCAGUCUUCAGUGUCACAUGAUCUUCAGAAAUCAUUCGAAUAUGAUGAUUUGCUGCUCAAGAAACAUUUCUGAUUAUUAUCAAUGAUGAAAACAGUUGUGCUGCCCAAUAUUUUUGCGGAAAUUGUCUUACAUUUGAUAUUUGAUGAAUAGAAAGCUCGAAAUAACAGAAUUUAUUACUUUUGUAACACUAUGCAUUUCUUUACUGUCAGUUUUCUUCAGUUUAAUGUGUCCUUGCUAAAUAAAAAUAUUGAUUUAUUUUAAAAAUCUUACUGA